rnacentral:tRNA from 1 species
GAUUCAGUAGCUGAGUGGAUAACGCGAUGGCGUUUGAAGCGAAAGGUUCUGGGUUUGAGUCCCAACAUC